CAGUCGCCACGGUAAUACGAAGGGGGCUAGCGUUGCUCGGAAUCACCGGGCGUAAAGGGUGCGUAGGCGGGUCUUUAAGUCAGGGGUGAAAUCCUGGAGCUCAACUCCAGAACUGCCUUUGAUACUGAAGAUCUUGAGUUCGGGAGAGGUGAGUGGAACUGCGAGUGUAGAGGUGAAAUUCGUAGAUAUUCGCAAGAACACCAGUGGCGAAGGCGGCUCACUGGCCCGAUACUGACGCUGAGGCACGAAAGCGUGGGGAGCAAACAGGAUUAGAUACCCCUGUAGUCCCUGUCUCUUAUAC
rnacentral:rRNA from 1 species